rnacentral:piRNA from 1 species
AUUCUUUGAUUUGUUAGAAGAGCCACGG